AGUAAUGCUUGGGAAUCUAGCUUAUGGAGGGGGAUAGCUACGGGAAACUGUAGCUAAUACCGCGUAGAAUCGAGAGAUGAAAGUGUGGGACCUUCGGGCCACAUACCAUAGGAUGAGCCCAAGUGGGAUUAGGUAGUUGGUGAGGUAAAGGCUCACCAAGCCGACGAUCUCUAGCUGGUCUGAGAGGAUGACCAGCCACACUGGGACUGAGACACGGCCCAG
rnacentral:rRNA from 1 species